CUCAAAAGGAAAGAAAGCCCGUCGAAGGGGAAGAACCUGUAUAGGAAACCAGAGGAAAAGGAAAACAGGCAGCAAAAUAAAGAGGUGAAUGUUAUUCCAAAGAUUCAGCCCAAUCAUCUCAUUGUCCUGAGAAGGAAAGAAGGCAGGGAAGGAGCAAUAAAGAAGGAAAAUGAGGCUUCUGUGAAGACACAGUUCACUGCUUCAGCAUAAAAGCUGUGGGAGAGGGAUCUAAAGAGAUAGUGAAGAAUUAUGUGGGAAUGACUUGACUUUACAGUGUGAAACAAAACAUGCUGGAGUUCUCCGGGAGAUGCUCUGUAGGCGGGACACUUGCUUAAGGAGGUCCUGAAAAGGGAUAGACAUGUUCCAGGCAGAGGAAGUGAAAACGAGCUUCACGGAGAAACCACACAACCAAACCAAAGACAGGAAGAAAGUGCCAACACUCGGAGGGCCAGGCUGGGGGACUCACUGGGCAGGGAU